rnacentral:rRNA from 1 species
GACGUAGGGCGCGAGCGUUGUCCGGAUUUAUUGGGCGUAAAGAGCUCGUAGGCGGCUUGUCGCGUCGUCCGUGAAAACCCACGGCUUAACUGUGGGCUUGCGGUCGAUACGGGCAGGCUGGAGUUCGGUAGGGGAGACGUGGAAUUCCUGGUGGUAGCGGUGGAAUGCGCAGAUAUCAGGAGGAACACCGGUGGCGAAGGCGGGUCUCUGGGCAGUGAACUGACGCUGAGGAGCGAAAGCGUGGGGAGCGAACAGG